rnacentral:rRNA from 1 species
AUGGUGGCGACUCUGGGGAGCCUCGGUAUCAAGACGCGGACGUGCAGGAGGGCCGUGAGGGAGCUUCGGUCGUACGAGGAGGAGGUGGAGAAGGAGGCGGCCAAGACCGCAGCCAUGAAGGAGAGAGGCGCCGAUCCCUACGAUCUCAAGCAGCAGGAGAAUGUUUUGGCAAGGAUGAUGAUCCCAGACUGUCAUAAGCGUCUUGAAGCCACACUGGCAGAACUGGAAGCAACUCUGGCCGAGUUGAAGGAGUCAGGAGAACAAGGUGUUGAGAUAGGAGAGGCGGAGAGCGCGAUCACAGAAGUUGAAACUGUAUUCGAGCAAUUCGAAGAUCAGCUCACUAGUCAAGAGCGCCAGUGUGUUGAAGUUUUAGCAAGCAUCUUGAUAAAAUACUUGCCCUGA